CUCACCCCUGUGCCGCGACCCCGCAGCCCUGGCUGCUGCGGCGUUUUUCCACACCUGAUGCCAGUGACACCGGUCUGCUCAGGCUCUUCUGGAAAGCCCAGGGUUUCAAGGAUGAGGAGAGAAAAAGAAAAAGAAAAGCUGAGCUUCACAGUGCUUUGGUUUUCCGUUGCUCUCACCCGAUCAUUGGAGUCCUUAACGGGUCCCCUCCUUCAAUGAGGCCUUGGAGGACCAGCGGGGCUUUCGCCAUGAGAGCUGACAGGGGAGAGUGGUCCAUCACCUGCAGACGGAAGUGUUGCCUGGCUGGGGAGAGCAAGCAGAGCAGCUGGGUUUUUCCCGGGGCAUUCUUGAAGACCUUUGGACUCGUUGGACCCGGACGGCUAGGGCUGAACUUCAUCGGAUAAAUGGCGACACCAUAUAAGGCUACAUGUUUUCUUUUUCCUAAGAUAAAAGCCUGCCCAGAGCAUCCCCUAGACUCUUGGCAUUUUCUCGAGAAGGAAAACAGCUCCUCAACAUUAAUUAUAUUGCGAAGAUGACCUUAAAUGCAGACUGCAUUUGCGAACCCUGACCACGCUCUUAACUUGGAACACGACGUCUCAGUUUUGACUCUGCUUGCUACCCCUGGCGCUGGGUUACAAGACACAAAACAACGCUUUGCGUGUUGUGCAGGAAAAAUCACUCAGACACCGCAUCUCUCACGUUCCUGCCCCAGAGCUGGAAAUUCAUCACUCAAAUUUGUUUCAAGUGUAAAAACGCUAAUAUUUAUGGCCCAUAUUUCCUCCUUUAUGAGUCCUGCAUGUCUCGUUAAGCCUUUGAUGAUAGAAAUUUCUACGUACGUUAGUAUACAAAUGCAGCAUGUGGGUAGAAACAGAACUCUUACUAUCUAAUGAGGAAAAGGCACCCCAGCUCUGAUAAAAUGGACCCGAUUAGCCUGUAAUUUAAGUCCAAGAAAGGUAAAGACAAAUACCAGUCCUGCUAGCCUGCGUUUUUACAUUGGUUUAAAUUCCAUUUAAUUCUAAUUCCUUGAAUAAAUGUCCGGAAAUAACUGUAGGAUUCUCUCUGCCUCGUGACUUGCUCCAGAGAAGAAAGAUGAGAAAGGCCCUGUUCACCACUAAUAUUUAAGUCUCACCAGUUCGCGAAGUCCCUGGAAGGAAUCUUGAGAAUAAAAACACGCACUUCUUUAAAACCAUCAGAUUUGGAUCUGAGAGAACAGCAUCAAAUACUAUUUUAGAAACAACACGUACAAGCGUAAAUAAAAG